UGGGGAAUAUUGCACAAUGGGCGCAAGCCUGAUGCAGCCAUGCCGCGUGUAUGAAGAAGGCCUUCGGGUUGUAAAGUACUUUCAGCGGGGAGGAAGGCGUUAAGGUUAAUAACCUUGGCGAUUGACGUUACCCGCAGAAGAAGCACCGGCUAACUCCGUGCCAGCAGCCGCGGUAAUACGGAGGGUGCAAGCGUUAAUCGGAAUUACUGGGCGUAAAGCGCACGCAGGCGGUCUGUCAAGUCGGAUGUGAAAUCCCCGGGCUCAACCUGGGAACUGCAUUCGAAACUGGCAGGCUAGAGUCUUGUAGAGGGGGGUAGAAUUCCAGGUGUAACGGUGAAAUGCGUAGAGAUCUGGAGGAAUACCGGUGGCGAAGGCGGCCCCCUGGACAAAGACUGACGCUCAGGUGCGAAAGCGUGGGGAGCAAACAGG
rnacentral:rRNA from 1 species